rnacentral:rRNA from 1 species
UACAGAGGGUGCAAGCGUUGUUCGGAAUUAUUGGGCGUAAAGGGCGCGUAGGCGGUGCGGUAAGUUUGUGGUGAAAUCUUCAGGCUCAACUUGAAAAUUGCCGCGAAGACUGCCGUGCUGGAGUGUGGGAGAGGUGAGUGGAAUUCCCGGUGUAGCGGUGAAAUGCGUAGAUAUCGUAAGGAAGACCAGUGGCGAAGGCGGGUCUCUGGACAGUUCCUGACGCUGAGGCACGAAGGUCAGGGGAGCAAACGGG